GACCUGUGGUGUCAUAGUUACUCACAGUAAAAUUACUCACAGUAAAAUUAUUGUAGUUUGACUACAUAUAAGUAUUAACUCAAUUAUGAGUUUUUAUAGUGGAUGUUGGCUUCAGUUGAUUGAGCUACGAGAGCAAUGUCUGUAUUUAGAUAGGAUCUAUCAACUUUGAUGGAGAGGAAUAGUCCUAUGAGAUUUAAGAAGCUGAGUCCAUAAAUCUAUGGCUAUAAUAGUAUGAUUGA
rnacentral:lncRNA from 1 species